UAUUUUUCUUUUUCCGGCAUGGUUUCGCGUUUCGCCAUUUUUGCGACCGUUAGGUGUUUCGCCGUUUCGCGGUAUGGAAAUGCCUUUAGAAAUGGAAAUGUGCUAAUUUAACAAGGUUUAUCUAUCUGUGAAGUUUUCUCUUGUGAUGAUUAUGUUCAAGAAGAGCGCGGAAGGCCGACGACGCAACAGAACGAGCAGCUCAGCGCAGUUGUGUGGUUGCACCUGUGUGGGCGAGGUAAAUCCACUAUGAAAAGACCCUGAAGUGACGCCUUCAGGAUGCCGAAAAUAAUUAUGACUACAUGUGCUCCCAGUACAAGGGGGUGGCCCUCCAGGCGCUGACGACCAGCAUGUCAUCUCUGCUGUGCUGUCGA
rnacentral:lncRNA from 1 species